rnacentral:rRNA from 1 species
ACGGGUGAGUAACGCGUAGACAACCUGCCUUCUAGAUGGGGACAACACCGCGAAAGUGGUGCUAAUACCGAAUGUUGUAACGAAACUGCAUGGUUUUGUUACUAAAGGUGGCCUCUAUUUAUAAGCUACCACUAGAAGAGGGGUCUGCGUCUGAUUAGCUAGUUGGUGAGGUAACGGCUCACCAAGGCGACGAUCAGUAGCCGGUCUGAGAGGAUGAACGGCCACACUGGGACUGAGACACGGCCCAGACUCCUACGGGAGGCAGCAGUGGGGAAUCUUCCGCAAUGGACGAAAGUCUGACGGAGCAACGCCGCGUGAGUGAAGAAGGUUUUCGGAUCGUAAAGCUCUGUCUUUUGGGACGAAUGUGUUUCUUGUGAAUAAUGAGGAGCAAUGACGGUACUAAAGGAGGAAGCCACGGCUAACUACGUGCCAGCAGCCGCGGUAAUACGUAGGUGGCAAGCGUUGUCCGGAAUUAUUGGGCGUAAAGCGCGCGCAGGCGGGAUGGUAAGUCUAACUUAAAAGUGCGGGGCUCAACCCCGUGAGGGGUUAGAAACUACCAUUCUUGAGUGCAGGAGAGGAAAGUGGAAUUC